UCUGCUACUUAAUGCUGAUAUGCUCUGUGAAAUCAUGUCCUUUGACCGUUAUCUACAUUUCACUGCGGAACCUUUGUCCACUUUUUUUCUCUUUCGAGGUUGUUCCUCUUAGUUGGUUGCGAAAUUCCUUUUGGCAUAUUAAUAUAGCAACCAGUAAGCAUGUACUUUCCAACAAUCAUACAUGCAAUCCUCGCUUUAAUACCACCUAUUUCUCAUGUUCACUCUAAUACCACAUGAAAAUCCACUCGGUUAAUCUAGUUCUGAUCCCUCCUAAAACCUUUGACAUGUCAAAUUUGCCUGUCUUAUCCCCUCUGCUGUCCUGUUGAUAAUCUGUUCAAUCAGUGUGUCUGUGUCCUCAUGUGGCAUGCCAACCCGGAUAGCAGAAGAGCUACCUGUGUGUGCAAGAGCUAGUGCUGGCCGUGCUGCAGACUGAUUGACAGUGUUGGGCGUGAUAACAGAACAGCCACUGGUCACAGCGUUUGCCAUCAAAAGCGUUUUAAGGAAAUACUGGAGUUGGUGUCUCCAUGUGCUAAAUGUCUUGCUGCAGUUGGCAGGUGCAUCAAAUUGUCUUCUUGAGAAUUACGUCUAGUUUAUAAUUGUAUUGCUGUCAGCAAAGCUUCGAGAGAUACCCGCGUUGGGAGAUAUCCCCUACAAUCUUAUCUUUUGCGGGCAAGGGACCUUUUCCCCAUGCCCUGUCAAUAUUUUAAACUCUGAAAAUAACUUUUCUCUAUUAAUACAUAUACGGCAAAGCUUUUGUCGAUGUUUUAAAAAAUUUUAUUGCUGUUUGUGCCAUGAGAAUUAACCACUUCAGCUACUAGCUAUAAAAAUAUGAAGUAGAAGAAGUUGAAUAAGCCAAUGGGUUGUUUUCUUCAUUUUGAGUAAUUAGAAAACAUGUAUGUUUUUAUUCAGGAUUACAUAUCUUCAGGUCUAUUUGGCACAGUCCUGUUGUAUCCCCAACCAAAAUUUCAUAGCACGAUAUACAUGACUUGCGACAUUUUUACCUUAUUUUAUCAACUGGCUCGAUUAGCUGAUUUUGUCAAGACUCACUCACAUAAUCAAGCUCCAACAAAAGGUUCGAUGCAUUCAUGGCCAAGCAUUCUUUGUGCAUGCAGGUUGGAGUUUGGACUUGCCAAAGUAGUUUGGUUGUUGUAUGUUUUCCCUUUUGGUUUGAGAUCUUCUGGCAAUUUAUUUUAACUUUUGAGGCAACUAUUUUCACGAGGAGAGUGACUCACUUGCAAGGAGUAAGACCUCAUGCAAUUGCCAACUUGCUAUGCCCUUCUCUUACCUUCUUCCUUUCAUCACAUGGACUCUGCUCCCAGAAGCAUUGCUAUUGCCUAUUCCUGUGCUCAUCCCUUUUCUUCUUUCUUUCAUCAUGAAUUGCAAUUUGUCGCAUUACGUGAAUUUGUGCCCCAUCAUUAUUAUCAUCUUGACGUCUCAUAGAUGCUGGCUAUUUUUUUCUCUGGGAUGACAUAUCUAAAGAUUCUCCUAUUCUAAUCGUAGGCUCAGUGGCAUAUUGUAAUCUUAUCUUACUAUUCUAGGUUAUGGAGUUGAGUCAAUGACAUUCAAUGUUAAUUUUCACAAUUUAUGGAGCUUGUUAAGACUUGCAUAUGCGAACCAACUUACUGGAAUUGGCUUUGGUUGGUAGUAAUGUGGAAGGUGGUAAACAAUUCAGAUCAAGAUUACAGUCACCUUCCAGAAUUAGAUCUCAGUGUCAUGCUCAAUCAGGGUACUCUUCACCAAUCACAAGACCAACUCCUCAUCAAUCAUACAAGCCCUGUAAGAAAAUAAUUGUGUUCUUUACCGAUACUGUCAAAGAGGAAGACUCCAUGGACACUCAACACAUAGGAACUAUAUUGCUUUCCAAAAACAGUCUGGAUGGAGUCCGUCUGACUGUGGUGUCAGGUAUCAUCGAUGUUUAUGGUCGCGAGGACUGAGGACUAUGGUAGAGACUUCCACCGAUCUUGAAGGCACUCUGGACCAAGUGUCAGGAAUAUUCUCUUUGUGGGUUGAUAGGGCGAAAUGGACCGUUCAAGGUAUCCCUACUCGUCCAAGGGGGAACAACUAUAGGAAAGGAUCCUACAGUGCUGUCGAGGAUCCAAUUGUUGCUGCUGGGAACACUGCUGUGUUCGUAAGAAAUCAGAUUCCUUUUGCAGCGUUGAGACCCUGAGAAAUGAAUGCAAAAAGGGAAUAACCUGCAUGCUCGAGGAGAUUCUUGCAGGACAGGCUGAGGUUGAAUUUUUCUGCAGGCAAUGAGUCGCUUGCAGAAGGGUUCAGACUUCUCACUUCAGAGAAUCCACAUCUUUUCUUUCAGACUGAAGAGCUUCGGCCUUUUGGAGUGGUUCUGAUGUCGAUAUCCAGGUAGGCGUCGUAGCUACCUCGGAGCAUAGCAGAGCAGCUUUCAGCACCUUGUGUGACUAUCGACUCGUGGUCGUGGAAUCCAUCCAUCCAUACUGUAGGAGAUUGGUGAAAAAGUGACGUGGGUCACGGAGCAGCCGCUGAUGGAUAUAUUGGCAACAUGGCAUCUCCUGUGCAACGUGAAGUACUGAAACUAUGUGUUCCAUCUCGAGUUUUUGGCCAUGUUUUAGUGGAGGGUUUCGAAAGCUCCGGUAAACAAAUGUCAGAUGAAAUAAUCUGCGUUGAUAGAUCCACACACGAUCAUGAGCCCUAUACUUGGAAAACGAGAGAAUCCUGUCGAAUUGUGUCCGAACUGUUUCCCUUUGAAAUCCUUGGAAUUUAUCCGCGUCA